rnacentral:rRNA from 1 species
AGUGAACGCUGGCGGUAGGCCUAACACAUGCAAGUCGAACGGCAGCACAGUAAGAGCUUGCUCUUACGGGUGGCGAGUGGCGGACGGGUGAGGAAUACAUCGGAAUCUACUUUUUCGUGGGGGAUAACGUAGGGAAACUUACGCUAAUACCGCAUACGACCUACGGGUGAAAGCAGGGGAUCUUCGGACCUUGCGCGAUUGAAUGAGCCGAUGUCGGAUUAGCUAGUUGGCGGGGUAAAGGCCCACCAAGGCGACGAUCCGUAGCUGGUCCGAGAGGAUGAUCAGCCACACUGGAACUGAGACACGGUCCAGACUCCUACGGGAGGCAGCAGUGGGGAAUAUUGGACAAUGGGCGCAAGCCUGAUCCAGCCAUACCGCGUGGGUGAAGAAGGCCUUCGGGUUGUAAAGCCCUUUUGUUGGGAAAGAAAAGCAGCAGGUUGAUACCCCGCUGUUCUGACGGUACCCAAAGAAUAAGCACCGGCUAACUUCGUG